rnacentral:rRNA from 1 species
CGGACGGGUGAGUAAUGUCUGGGAAACUGCCUGAUGGAGGGGGGAUAACUACUGGAAACGGUAGCUAAUACCGCAUAACGUCGCAAGACCAAGAGGGGGACCUUCGGGCCUCUUGCCAUCAGAUGUGCCCAGAUGGGAUUAGCUAGUAGGUGGGGUAACGGCUCACCUAGGCGACGAUCCCUAGCUGGUCUGAGAGGAUGACCAGCCACACUGGAACUGAGACACGGUCCAGACUCCUACGGGAGGCAGCAUG